rnacentral:rRNA from 1 species
CGUGUCGUCAGCUCGUGUCGUGAGAUGUUGGGUUAAGUCCCGCAACGAGCGCAACCCUUACGGUUAGUUGCCAGCGGGUUAUGCCGGGCACUCUAGCUGAACUGCCGUUGACAAAACGGAGGAAGGUGGGAUGACGUCAAAUCAUCAUGCCCUUUAUGUCCUGGGCUACACACGUGCUACAAUGGCCUGUACAGAGGGAAGCGAAAGGGUGACCUGGAGCGAAUCCCAAAAAGCAGGUCUCAGUUCGGAUUGCAGGCUGCAACCCGCCUGCAUGAAGUCGGAAUCGCUAGUAAUCGCAGGUCAGCAUACUGCGGUGAAUACGUUCCCGGGUCUU